rnacentral:rRNA from 1 species
GACGAACGCUGGCGGCGUGCUUAACACAUGCAAGUCGAACGAAGAGCGAUGGAAGCUUGCUUCUAUCAAUCUUAGUGGCGAACGGGUGAGUAACGCGUAAUCAACCUGCCCUCCAGAGGGGGACAACAGUUGGAAACGACUGCUAAUACCGCAUACGAUCUAAUCUCGGCAUCGAGGAUAGAUGAAAGGUGGCCUCUACAUGUAAGCUAUCACUGAAGGAGGGGAUUGCGUCUGAUUAGCUAGUUGGAGGGGUAACGGCCCACCAAGGCGAUGAUCAGUAGCCGGUCUGAGAGGAUGAACGGCCACAUUGGGACUGAGACACGGCCCAGACUCCUACGGGAGGCAGCAGUGGGGAAUCUUCCGCAAUGGACGAAAGUCUGACGGAGCAACGCCGCGUGAGUGAUGACGGCCUUCGGGUUGUAAAGCUCUGUUAAUCGGGACGAAAGGCCUUCUUGCGAAUAGUGAGAAGGAUUGACGGUACCGGAAUAGAAAGCCACGGCUAACUACGUG